GGAUGUGAGGCGAUCUGGCUGCGACAUCUGUCACCCUAUUGAUCGCCAGGGUUGAUUCGGCUGAUCUGGCUGGCUAGGCGGGUGUCCCCUUCCUCCCUCACCGCUCCAUGUGCGUCCCUCCCGAAGCUGCGCGCUCGGUCGAAGAGGACGACCUUCCCCGAAUAGAGGAGGACCGGUCUUCGGUCAAGGGUAUACGAGUAGCUGCGCUCCCCUGCUAGAACCUCCAAACAAGCUCUCAAGGUCCAUUGUAGGAGAACGUAGGGUAGUCAAGCUUCCAAGACUCCAGACACAUCCAAAUGAGGCGCUGCAUGUGGCAGUCUGCCUUUCUUU
rnacentral:snRNA from 14 species